AGCGAACGCUGGCGGCAGGCCUAACACAUGCAAGUCGAACGAACUCUUCGGAGUUAGUGGCGGACGGGUGAGUAACACGUUGGAACGUGCCUUUUGGUUCGGAAUAACUCAGGGAAACUUGUGCUAAUACCGAAUGUGCCCUUCGGGGGAAAGAUUUAUCGCCAUUAGAGCGGCCCGCGUCUGAUUAGCUAGUUGGUGAGGUAACGGCUCACCAAGGCGACGAUCAGUAGCUGGUCUGAGAGGAUGACCAGCCACACUGGGACUGAGACACGGCCCAGACUCCUACGGGAGGCAGCAGUGGGGAAUCUUGCGCAAUGGGCGAAAGCCUGACGCAGCCAUGCCGCGUGAAUGAUGAAGGUCUUAGGAUUGUAAAAUUCUUUAACCGGGGACGAUAAUGACGGUACCCGGAGAAGAAGCCCCGGCUAACUUCGUG
rnacentral:rRNA from 1 species